GGGAAGGUGGCUCAGUGGUAGAGUGCUUGCCCCGCAAGCAUGAGACCCUGGGUUCGAUUCCUCCGCACCA
rnacentral:tRNA from 1 species